AAACACUCCCAAACCCCACCACCGGCCGGCGACCAGAAAAUGGACGGCGGCAGCAUUCUGGAGACGAUCGGAGUGGAGAUCAUCGGAGUAAUGUCACCAGUAUCCAUCUGCAUGUUCCUCGUUGUCCUCAUCGUAUAUACCCUUUCUUCACCAUCUUCCUCCGAUAACCAGCAAGUCAUCCGUACAGCGGCUAACCUCAUAUACCUUGAAUCAUCUUCCGAUACUACUGCCCAGAAGCUCGAAGGAGCCCUUCUAAACGCCGUCGUUUUUGUAGUACUCAUAACCCUUGUA
rnacentral:misc_RNA from 1 species